rnacentral:sRNA from 1 species
AUGUACCACGCCUACACCCCGGUUUCUCCGUGCCGUCCACACCACCUCACGACUGCCCGCCACGCUUUGUUAGCC